GCUUCGUCGCCUAGACAUCAUCCAUUUCACAGGGCCACGGUGGGGAUCCAGCCCGCUGAUUGCCUCGAGGGGCGUGGGCACCCAGCGGUCCACAUGCACUCAGGGCCUGCCCAGAUAGAGUCUCAUUCUGUCUCCCAGGCUGGAGCACAGUUGCCCAUAGCUCUUUGCAGCCUCAAACUACCUUGCCUUUGUAAAGUUGCUCCUGGUGUGAGGGAAGUUCACCACUGCUCUGUCAAGGCCAGAAGCUCCAGCAGAGGCUAGGAAAGUUGCGACUUAGCAAUGCAGUGUGUCCCAAAGUGUAUUCCAGAGAACACUAGUUGCACAAGAUGACAAAGUGGUUUAUUUACAAGUAAACAGAAAAAAUAAAUGAUCAUUUUUAACACUUAAAUUUGUUAAAACUUUGGUUUAAACAAGAUUAAAUAGGUCUGAUCCCUGAAGAAUGACUCAGGACUUCCAAGACACUAAUGCCCCUGGUGAACCUCCAUGAAGAGAAUAAAAAGGGCGACACUCCUGAAAUUUAUUUUAUCACAAUGUUUUGUUUGUUUGUUUCACAAAACAUCUUUAGAGAAAGAGUAUGAUAUGCUGCUUAAGAUCAAGCACUCUGGAUGAAGACACAUUUGGGCUGGGUGUGUGGCACGUGCCUGUAGUCCCAGCUACUUGGGAGGCCAAGGUGUGAGGAUUGCUUGAGCCCAGAAGCUGCUGGCUGCAGUGAGCUAGGAUUGCACCUGUGAAGGGCCACCACACUCCAGCCUGGGAAACAUAGAGAUCUGUCUCUAAGGAAAAAUAUAAAAAGAUCUGCUUGCAUUGAAUCCCAGUUCUGCCACUUACUGGCUGUGUGUCCUUGCAAGGUUACUGGCCCUUUGUGAACCUCAGUUUUCCUGUAUGCUAACUGAGGAUAAAGGUAUUACUAUCCAACAGAGGUAUCAUGAUUAUUGAGAGCAUUCUAUGAGAUGAUGCAUGAAAAGCACCCAGUCCACUGUUGGCAUGUGGUGAAUGCCCACAGCUAGUAGCUGUUGUGUUGGGAUGAUUAUUACUAGAAUUGUCUGUAAAAUAGCAAUGACUAAUAACAAUUCUCUGUCAUUCCAGACAGUGGAAAACACAGUAGAGCAGGAUCUGUCUUUAUUCUCCUUUAGUUUGAGAAUUUGGUCUGGGACUUGGAAGGUGGCACUGGAGAGAGGAUUCUAGGGAGAAGCUGCACUCAGCACAUAAAACACGUGUUUCCAUCUCCAGAUAGAGAAUUUUCUCCUGCUCAAAGAACUCUUAG